CUACGGGGGGCUGCAGUAGGGAAUUUUCGGCAAUGGAGGAAACUCUGACCGAGCAACGCCGCGUGAAUGAAGACAUAUUUCGGUAUGUAAAGUUCUUUUAUUAGGGAAGAAUAGCCCAUGGAAAAAUGGGUGUGACGGUACCUAAUGAAUAAGCCCCGGCUAACUAUGUGCCAGCAGCCGCGGUAAUACAUAGGGGGCAAGCGUUAUCCGGAAUUAUUGGGCGUAAAGGGUGCGUAGGCGGCGAUUUAAGUCUUUGGUAUAAGUGCAGUGCUUAACGCUGUGAUGCUAAGGAAACUGAAUUGCUUGAGUGAUAUAGAGGCAAGUGGAAUUCCAUGUGUAGCGGUAAAAUGCGUAAAUAUAUGGAGGAACACCAGUGGCGAAGGCGGCUUGCUGGGUCUACACUGACGCUGAGGCACGAAAGCGUGGGGAGCAAACAGGAUUAGAUACCCGCGUAGUC
rnacentral:rRNA from 1 species